rnacentral:rRNA from 1 species
AGUCGAGGGGAAACGACAUCGAAAGCUUGCUUUUGAUGGGCGUCGACCGGCGCACGGGUGAGUAACGCGUAUCCAACCUGCCCACCACUUGGGGAUAACCUUGCGAAAGUAAGACUAAUACCCAAUGACGUCUCUAGAAGACAUCUGAAAGAGAUUAAAGAUUUAUCGGUGAUGGAUGGGGAUGCGUCUGAUUAGCUUGUUGGCGGGGUAACGGCCCGCCAAGGCUACGAUCAGUAGGGGUUCUGAGAGGAAGGUCCCCCACAUUGGAACUGAGACACGGUCCAAACUCCUACGGGAGGCAGCAGUGAGGAAUAUUGGUCAAUGGACGAGAGUCUGAACCAGCCAAGUAGCGUGCAGGAUGACGGCCCUAUGGGUUGUAAACUGCUUUUAUAAGGGAAUAAAGUGAGUCUCGUGAGACUUUUUGCAUGUACCUUAUGAAUAAGGACCGGCUAAUUCCGUGCCAGCAGCCGCGGUAAUACGGAAGGUCCGGGCGUUAUCCGGAUUUAUUGGGUUUAAAGGGAGCGUAGGCCGGAGAUUAAGCGUGUUGUGAAAUGUAGAUGCUCAACAUCUGCACUGCAGCGCGAACUGGUUUCCUUGAGUACGCACAAAGUGGGCGGAAUUCGUGGUGUAGCGGUGAAAUGCUUAGAUAUCACGAAGAACUCCGAUUGCGAAGGCAGCUCACUGGAGCGCAACUGACGCUGAAGCUCGAAAGUGCGGGUAUCGAACAGGAUUAGAUACCCUGGUAGUCCGCACGGUAAACGAUGGAUGCCCGCUGUUGGUCUGAAUAGGUCAGCGGCCAAGCGAAAGCAUUAAGCAUCCCACCUGGGGAGUACGCCGGCAACGGUGAAACUCAAAGGAAUUGACGGGGG